CUUCAGUGAUUAAUGCUCCUACAGGACGC
rnacentral:piRNA from 1 species